CUUGCUAGUUUUGAUGUCGUAUCCCUAUUUACUAACAUACCUGUUGACGAAACCAUCCACAUAAUAUCCAAAAGCAUUUUUAACAACCACCAGUACUUCAACGGACUCACUGCAACAGAAUUUGAAAAACUACUCUCUCUAGCUGAUGUACUCUGCUUUGAUAGCACU